ACGUAGGUGGCAAGCGUUGUCCGGAUUUACUGGGCGUAAAGCGUAUGCAGGCGGGAUCUUAAGUAGGAAGUGAAAGGUUGGAGCUCAACUCUAACACUGCUCCCUAUACUGGGGUUCUUGAGUGCCGGAGAGGAAGACGGAACGACACGUGUAGCGGUGAAAUGCGUUGAGAUGUGUCGGAACACCAAUGGCGAAAGCAGUCUUCUGGACGGAUACUGACGCUGAGAUACGAAAGCCAAGGUAGCAAACAGGA
rnacentral:rRNA from 1 species